GUGCCAGCAGCCGCGGUAAUACGUAGGGUGCGAGCGUUGUCCGGAAUUAUUGGGCGUAAAGAGCUCGUAGGCGGUCUGUCGCGUCUGCUGUGAAAACCCGAGGCUCAACCUCGGGCCUGCAGUGGGUACGGGCAGACUAGAGUGCGGUAGGGGAGAAUGGAAUUCCUGGUGUAGCGGUGGAAUGCGCAGAUAUCAGGAGGAACACCGAUGGCGAAGGCAGUUCUCUGGGCCGUAACUGACGCUGAGGAGCGAAAGCGUGGGGAGCGAACAGGAUUAGAUACCCUGGUAGUCCACGCCGUAAACGUUGGGCGCUAGAUGUGGGGAUCAUUCCACGGUUUCCGUGUCGCAGCUAACGCAUUAAGCGCCCCGCCUGGGGAGUACGGCCGCAAGGCUAAAACUCAAAGGAAUUGACGGGGGCCCGCACAAGCGGCGGAGCAUGCGGAUUAAUUCGAUGCAACGCGAAGAACCUUACCAAGGCUUGACAUACACGAGAACGCCCUAGAAAUAGGGAACUCUUUGGACACUCGUGAACAGGUGGUGCAUGGUUGUCGUCAGCUCGUGUCGUGAGAUGUUGGGUUAAGUCCCGCAACGAGCGCAACCCUCGUUCUAUGUUGCCAGCGCGUAAUGGCGGGAACUCAUAGGAGACUGCCGGGGUCAACUCGGAGGAAGGUGGGGAUGACGUCAAAUCAUCAUGCCCCUUAUGUCUUGGGCUUCACGCAUGCUACAAUGGCCGGUACAAAGGGCUGCAAUACCGUAAGGUGGAGCGAAUCCCAAAAAGCCGGUCUCAGUUCGGAUUGAGGUCUGCAACUCGACCUCAUGAAGUCAGAGCCGCUAGUAAUCGCAGAUCAGCAACGCUGCGGUGAAUACGUUCCCGGGCCU
rnacentral:rRNA from 1 species